rnacentral:misc_RNA from 1 species
GAAAUGCGAUACGUAGUGUGAAUUGCAGAAUUCCGUGAACCAUCGAAUCUUUGAACGCAUAUUGCGCCCAAGGCCUCGGCCGAGGGCAUGUCUGCCUCAGCGUCGUAAACUUCCCACUCGCCCCCCUCCCUUUUGGGAGCCGGCUCAGCCCUAGUGCUGGGCCUGGGAGCGGAUGUGGCUUUCCCACGCUCCGUGCGUGGGUUGGCUGAAAAGCAGAGGCUAGAGCAGGGACCCGUUAUGGGGCUCAACUGGAUAGGUAUGCUGGGUGCCUCACGGCGCCUGCUACACGAAGUUGAUGCCUUGUGGCCCUUUGCCGGCGGCCUGCAGGAAACGAGCGGUGUGGGGUGGCGGCUUAAUGGCCCCACCGCACCCGCCGUACAAUCAUUGGGUCGACCUGAGC